rfam:Pongo abelii chromosome X.
AUGUGGUAGAUAUAUGCACGAUAUAUGUAUGUAUGUAUGUAUAAAAGCAGGGCAGUAUAUAUAUCGUGCCUAUAUCUACCACAU